rnacentral:rRNA from 1 species
GACGAACGCUGGCGGCGUGCGUAACACAUGCAAGUCGAACGGAAAGGCCCUGCUUUUGUGGGGUGCUCGAGUGGCGAACGGGUGAGUAACACGUGAGUAACCUGCCCUUGACUUUGGGAUAACUUCAGGAAACUGGGGCUAAUACCGGAUAGGAGCUCCUGCUGCAUGGUGGGGGUUGGAAAGUUUCGGCGGUUGGGGAUGGACUCGCGGCUUAUCAGCUUGUUGGUGGGGUAGUGGCUUACCAAGGCUUUGACGGGUAGCCGGCCUGAGAGGGUGACCGGCCACAUUGGGACUGAGAUACGGCCCAGACUCCUACGGGAGGCAGCAGUGGGGAAUAUUGCACAAUGGGCGGAAGCCUGAUGCAGCAACGCCGCGUGCGGGAUGACGGCCCUCGGGUUGUAAACCGCUUUCGCCUGUGACGAAGCGUGAGUGACGGUAAUGGGUAAAGAAGCACCGGCUAACUACGUG